CAGCCGCCGCGGUAAUACGUAGGGUGCGAGCGUUAAUCGGAAUUACUGGGCGUAAAGCGUGCGCAGGCGGUUGUGUAAGACAGGUGUGAAAUCCCCGGGCUUAACCUGGGAACUGCGCUUGUGACUGCACAGCUAGAGUAUGGCAGAGGGGGGUGGAAUUCCACGUGUAGCAGUGAAAUGCGUAGAGAUGUGGAGGAACACCGAUGGCGAAGGCAGCCCCCUGGGCCAAUACUGACGCUCAUGCACGAAAGCGUGGGGAGCAAACAGGAUUAGAUACCCCUGUAGUCCCUGUCUCUUAUAA
rnacentral:rRNA from 1 species